rnacentral:rRNA from 1 species
AUUGAACGCUGGCGGCAUGCCUUACACAUGCAAGUCGAACGGUAACGGGCCUUCGGGUGCCGACGAGUGGCGAACGGGUGAGUAAUACAUCGGAACGUGCCCGAUCGUGGGGGAUAACGAGGCGAAAGCUUUGCUAAUACCGCAUACGAUCUACGGAUGAAAGCAGGGUACCUCAAGGCCUUGCGCGGACGGAGCGGCCGAUGGCAGAUUAGGUAGUUGGUGGGAUAAAAGCUUACCAAGCCGACGAUCUGUAGCUGGUCUGAGAGGAUGAUCAGCCACACUGGGACUGAGACACGGCCCAGACUCCUAAGGGAGGCAGCAGUGGGGAAUUUUGGACAAUGGGCGCAAGCCUGAUCCAGCCAUGCCGCGUGCAGGAUGAAGGCCUUCGGGUUGUAAACUGCUUUUGUACGGAACGAAAAGCCUUCUUUUAAUACAGGAGGGUCAUGACGGUACCGUAAGAAUAAGCACCGGCUAACUACGUG